CGCCAUCUUCCUUCGGCGCGCCCUCCGUCGCUAUGGUCCGCGCGGGACGAAACCAGCGACAGCGCUGAAGGAAGGGGGGGAAGCGAAAAAUGGUAAACAUGACUAGAAGAAAAGCGACAUUGGAGAGACCUGAGAGUACUGGAGUACCAUGACAGAGACAGAGAAACCUACUCAUCUUCAUGAUCUCACAGGCUCAAAAAUGUUUAAACUUUGCUCUUUAGCUAGAAGUUAAAAUGUUGAAAUUUAACCUUUUAAAUAAAACGGGCACUUGACACCUCC